AGUGAACGCUGGCGGUAGGCCUAACACAUGCAAGUCGAACGGCAGCACAGUAAGAGCUUGCUCUUACGGUUGGCGAGUGGCGGACGGGUGAGGCAUACAUCGGAAUCUACUUUUUCGUGGGGAAUAACGUGGGACAACUUCCGAUACUACCUCAUACGAUCAACGGGUGAAAGCAGGGAUUCUUCGUACCUUGCCCGCUUGAAAGGGCCGUUGUCGGUUUAGUUAGUUGGCGGGGGAAGGGCCCACCAAGCCGAGGAUCCGUAGCUGGUCUGAGAGGAGGAUCAGCCACACUGGAACUGAGACACGGUCCAGACUCCUACGGGAGGCAGCAGUGGGGAAUAUUGGACAAUGGGCGCAAGCCUGCUCCAGCCAUACCGCGUGGGUGAAGAAGGCCUUCGGGUUGUAAAGCCCUUUUGUUGGGAAAGAAAAGCAGCAGGUUAAUACGCCGCUGUUCUGACGGUACCCAAAGAAUAAGCACCGGCUAACUUCGUG
rnacentral:rRNA from 1 species